UCCACCCAAUCUAAUACACUGCCCCAUCCCCCAUUCUAAUACACUGCCCACCAAGCCAAUAUACUGCCCCAUCCACCCAAUCUAAUACACUACCCACCAAGCCAAUAUACUGCCCCCUCCACCCAAUCUAAUACACUGCCCACCAAGCCAAUAUACUGCCCCAUCCACCCAAUCUAAUACACUGCCCACCAAGCCAAUAUACUGCCCCAUCCACCCAAUCUAAUACACUGCCCACCAAACCAAUAUACUGCCCCAUCCACCCAAUCUAAUACACUGCCCACCAAGCCAAUAUACUGCCCCAUCCACCCAAUCUAAUACACUGCCCACCAAGCCAAUAUACUGCCCCAUCCACCCAAUCUAAUACACUGCCCACCAAGCCAAUAUACUGCCCCCUCCACCCAAUCUAAUACACUGCCCACCAAGCCAAUAUACUGCCCCAUCCACCCAAUCUAAUACACUGCCCCUCCUCCCUCCACUCUAAUUUAAUUCACUGCCCCCUCCCUACCCCAAUUUAACACACUGCCCCUCCCACCACCCUAAUAGACUGCCCCCCUCCUUCCUUCUCCACAUUAAUAUAUUGUCAUCUCUUCAAUUUAACACACUGCCCUACUCCCUCCCCCAAAUAUUACACUGCGCCCCUCCCAAAUUGAACACACUACAUAGGAAGGUCCCCCAAGCCCCUUUUCCCUUACCUGAAGAUGAGUCGUCUUCCAGUUCCAGCUCUUCUCUGCUCAAGCAGGCCAGACGCUCCUCUGGCACUGCGAGCAGGAAGGAAAGGGGGAGUGGCUGGCACUGCGAGCAGGAGGGAAGGGAGAGUAGCUGGCACUGCGAGCAGGAGGGAAGGGGGAGGAAAGGGGAAGUGGUUGGCACUGCGAGCAGCAGGGAAGGGAGAGUGGCUGGCACUGCUAGCAGGAAGGAACAGGGAGGAAAGGGGGAGUGGCUGGCACUGCGAGCAGGAGGGAAGGGGAGUGGCUGGCACUGCGAGCAGGAAUGAACGGGAAGAGAAGGGGGAGUGGCUGGCACUGCGAGCAGGAAUGAAAGGGAAGGGGGAGUGGCUGGCACUGCGAGCAGGAAUGAACGGGGGAGUGGCUGGCACUGCGAGCAGGAAGGAACAGGGAGGGAAGGGGGAGUGGCUGGCACUGCGAGCAUGAGGGAAGGGGAGUGGCUGGCAAAGCAGGAGGGAAGGGAGUGGCUGGCAUUGUAAGCAGGAGGGAAGGGAGUGGCUGGCACUGCAACAGGAGGGAAGGGGAAGUGCUGGCACGACAGAGGAAGUGGCUGGCAUUGCAAGCAGGAGGGACGGGGAGUGGCUGGCACUGCGAGCAGGAGGGAAUGGGAGUGGCUGGCACUGCGAGCAGGAAUGAACGGGGAGGGAAGGGGGAGUGGGUG